UACCAGCUCUCCGAGUGGUAGGGAUGAUUAUUGGGCUUAAAGCGUCCGUAGCCGGCUUAGCAAGUCUCCUGUUAAAUUCAGCGACCUAAUCGUUGAGCCGCGGGAGAUACUACUAGGCUAGGAGGCGGGAGAGGUCAACGGUACUUCCGGGGUAGGGGUGAAAUCCUAUAAUCCCGGGAGGACCACCAGUGGCGAAGGCUGUUGACUAGAACGCGCUCGACGGUGAGGGACGAAAGCUGGGGGAGCGAACCGGAUUAGAUACCCGGGUAGUCCCAGCUGUAAACGAUGCGAGCUAGGUGUUGGGGUGGCUACGUGCCACUUCAGUGCCGCAGGGAAGCCGUUAAGCCUGCCGCCUGGGGAGUACGGCCGCAAGGCUGAAACUUAAAGGAAUUGGCGGGGGAGCACCACAAGGGGUGAAGCUUGCGGUUU
rnacentral:rRNA from 1 species